UUGCCCAAACACACAGCUCUUAGAUAAAAAAAAAUUUUUUAAAAGGCAGGUCCAUGAUAAUUAAAUGCAGUGAGAAAUCUUGGAUUGCAUCUUAAAACAGGAAAAGGAUGGAAGCCAGGGCCCUGAAGGCUUUCUCCUUGCAAAGGCUUCCAAAGGCCUCCUGCCCGCAUUGGCACCCAAGGGCUUCCUGUCGGCUGUGGUACCAGCUCCUUUCACAAGGUCCUGUGCAGCUUGACUGUGGCCCAGAGACUUGCCUUCUGCUGCCAGCAGCCAGUUCCAGCCUGGGAAAACCAGCAAGCAUCUCUGCCAUCCAGGGGCUGCACUUCACCUUCUUCAAUGAGACCAAUGAGAGCUGAACCCCAGUCUUGUUCUUUGGGAGCUACAUCAGGCCUUGAGCAUGAACUGGACCUAGUGACCUGUUUCUAAGGAAUAAUGACAAAAGUGAUGGGACGCUGCUUCCUAAAUGAAGUGAUACAAGAUUUUGACUUCUUUGUAACUUUCACUCUCUCUCUCUGGCCUGCCUGUCUUGGGCUCUCCUUGCUUGCUGCUUGGAUGAGCCAAACUACCAUACUGAUUGUGAGCUACCCUUCCGAGAGGCUCAUGUGGCAACAGAAAGCCAAGACCUUCAUCCCAACACUUCGGGAGGAACUGAAUCCUGCCAGCAAUCAGGGGAGUGCACUAGGAAGCAGACCUUUGCCCAAGUGAGCCGUUGAGGACUGCAGGGCCAGCCAACACCCAGAUGGCAGCCUGAGAGAGCCAAAGGGGAGGGCCCAUCUAAGGCACAUGCAGACUGCUGACCUACAGAAAGUGUUAAGCCACUGGGUUUCAGGGCAAUUUGUUACAUGACAAUAGAUAACCAAGACAAGAGUUAUUUCAAUUUCCUUUUCAUCUUGUAUCUGUUUUGGUAAGUUGCAUUUUUAAGGAAUUUGUCCAUUUCUUAGUUAAGUCCAUAUAGUCCAUUUUAUUCAUUUACUUCAGAGGUAGACAAAAGACACCAGUUUAUUUGCUCAAAAGCACUUCAGAAAUUAAAAAAAAAACUUAUGUACACACAAAAAACUUGUACACAAAUGUUUACAGCAGCUUUAUUUGUAAUAACCAAAAAAAUUGAAACAACCCAAAUGUUCUUCAAUGGGCCAAUGUUUUUUUUAAAAAUAUGGUACAUCUGUUACUAUGGAGAGACUCAUGUCAGAAGGCCCCACCCACCCACCCUGAGCUUGUUCCUCGGUUCCUGUCUCACUCACAAGAGAAGGAUUCAAGCAAGAGACAAACAUGUGUAGUGGAAAUGAGACAGCAAGUUUAUUUGUGAAACACACAUGAGCACGGAACUAUAGGCUGGUACCCAGCUCGUCUAAAUGCCCCACAUAUAGAGGAAAUAAAGCUGUAUGUUUGUAAGUUUGUUCUAUACACUUGAGCAGAGGCUACAAGUAGGUCCUUAGCUAUUCUAAGUAUGCCGACGACUGGGGUUCAGGGGUUCUAUACCUUAGUCUGCUUCUAGGUUCCCUCUCCUUGUGCCCCUUCCAAACCUUGGGAAUAAUAUCCACCUACAAGGGCUUUCUUUCUUAGUAAAGGCUGUCUAGUUAGUGAAGUUUGUUGCACCGGCUCCCUUCCUCCUGUGCUAUCCCUGCCUGUGACGUUCAGAACACCUGGCAAUCUCAGCGAGACUGUCACAGAAGCUUACAGAACCCCCACCCCCACCCCCUUUCCCAGCACAGUCUCAAAGACUUCCCUUCUCACGCGCUAUAUUUGCUUGUGAUGCUCAGGACACCAGGCCAUCUUAUCAAACUGGGCUCGGGGCUGCUGAGUUAAGGUGAAAUAUGCCUCCCUUUUGCUUCUAACCUCUUAUAUUAAGUUCUUUGUUAGAUUUCUUUGUUAGAUUGUAGCGGCAGAGGUCCUGCUUUAUUCUUCCUCUGGCUGCUCAUUCUGGAUGCUACCUAACACAUCCAUACCACAAUGUACUACUCAAGCAAUAAAAGGGAACAAACUAUUAGUUAUGCAACAAUUUGGAUGGAUCUCAAGGGAGUUAUGCUGAGUGGAAAAAAAGCCAAUUUCAAAAGGUUACAUUCUGUGUAAUUUCAUUUAUAUAACGUUCUCAGCAUGAUAAAGUUACAGAUAUGAAGGGCAGA